UGUUUUUUUAUACAGCAUAAGCACCAAAACAUUAGUAAUAGUCAAGAAAACAAAAAAAUCAAAACUUUCAACAACGGAUCUCUUGGUUCUCGCAUCGAUGAAGAACGCAGCGAAUUGCGAUAAGUAAUAUGAAUUGCAGAUUUUCGUGAAUCAUUGAAUUUUUGAACGCACAUUGCGCCCUGUGGUAUUCCACAGGGCAUGCCUGUUUGAGCGUCAUUUCUCUCUCAAGCCGUCAGGCUUGGUGUUGAGUUUGCUCGGCUUACUUGAAACGAAUGUGUGCAUUGUUUAGGUUCUACCAGUCAGUGCACGCACCCAUACAAGUUUGACCUCAAAUCAGGUAGGACUACCCGCUGAACUUAAGCAUAUCAAUAAGCGGAGGAA
rnacentral:rRNA from 1 species